UACAGAGGUCUCAAGCGUUGUUCGGAUUCAUUGGGCGUAAAGGGUGUGUAGGUGGCGCCGUUAGUCGGGUGUGAAAUUUCGGAGCUUAACUCCGAAACUGCAUUCGAUACUGCGGUGCUUGAGGACUGGAGAGGAGACUGGAAUUCAUGGUGUAGCAGUGAAAUGCGUAGAGAUCAUGAGGAAGACCAGUGGCGAAGGCGGGUCUCUGGACAGUUCCUGACACU
rnacentral:rRNA from 1 species